rnacentral:rRNA from 1 species
GACGUAGGGCGCGAGCGUUGUCCGGAUUGAUUGGGCGUAAAGAGCUCGUAGGCGGUCUGUCGCGUCGAUCGUGAAAACUUGGGGCUUAACCCUGAGCUUGCGGUCGAUACGGGCAUGACUGGAGUUCGGCAGGGGAGACUGGAAUUCCUGGUGUAGCGGUGAAAUGCGCAGAUAUCAGGAGGAACACCGGUGGCGAAGGCGGGUCUCUGGGCCGAUACUGACGCUGAGGAGCGCAAGCGUGGGGAGCGAACAGG